rnacentral:rRNA from 1 species
CAGUAGCCGCGGGAAUACGUAGGGUGCAAGUGUUAAUCGGAAUUACUGGGCGUAAAGCGUGCGCAGGCGGUUAUAUAAGACAGAUGUGAAAUCCCCGGGCUCAACCUGGGAACUGCAUUUGUGACUGUAUAGCUAGAGUACGGCAGAGGGGGAUGGAAUUCCGCGUGUAGCAGUGAAAUGCGUAGAUAUGCGGAGGAACACCGAUGGCGAAGGCAAUCCCCUGGGCCUGUACUGACGCUCAUGCACGAAAGCGUGGGGAGCAAACAGGAUUAGAUACCCCUGUAGUCCCUGUCUCUUAUAC